GGAGGAGUAGGAGGUGGAGGCUAUAAUAACAUGUAUAAAUUCAGGACGAGAACAUGAUGUGGUAUAAAUAGUCGUCAUGUUUUAUAUAAGAUGGACACGCUGAGUCAAAAAUAUACCUUGCUAGGACGAGAACAUGAUAUGGUAUAAAUAUUAGUCAUGUUUUGUAUUAGAUGGACACGCUGAGUAAAAAAUAUAACUUGUUAAUUCCGUUUUGAGUUCACAAGGUUUCCAUCCGCAAAGAAAAA
rnacentral:lncRNA from 1 species